GUAGCAUCCGUUAACGGCGUUGCGCCGCGGGCCGCUCUUCCCCCCGCGAACGGGGAGCGAGACCGGCUCGGGGGCAAGCGUCGUUCGAGGCAGCCGAAAUUCGAGGGACACGAUGGGGCAUCGACCCAUGUUCGCCGCAUGGACCGCAUCCGAGAGAACGGUAUGCGCCCGUGUGCCGCAGCGGUCGUGACGAUGCAUGACCGAUACGGAGCACGCGCGCUGCCUUGAAAUCCUCCGGCGACCCCGCGGAGGAGGCCCGGAUGGAAGGGGAAUUACGAGCCACGUGAAUACCAUUUUUGAAAGGUAGUCAGCACAGGAACCGCGAAUGAACACCAGAGCC
rnacentral:misc_RNA from 1 species